GGUGCUGUGGCUCAAGUGGUAGAGCACUAGCCUUACAUGCCUGAGGCCCUGGGUUCGAUUCCUCAGCAUCA
rnacentral:tRNA from 1 species